rnacentral:rRNA from 1 species
UUCCGGUUGAUCCUGCCGGAGGCCAUUGCUAUCGGAGUCCGAUUUAGCCAUGCUAGUCGUACGAGUUCACACUCGUGGCGUAUAGCUCAGUAACACGUGGCCAAACUACCCUACAGAUCGGGAUACUCUCGGGAAACUGAGGCUAAUACCGAAUACGGCUUCCACGUUGGAAUUGCAGGAAGCCGGAAACGCUUCGGUGCUGUAGGAUGUGGCUGCGGCCGAUUAGGUAGACGGUGGGGUAACGGCCCACCGUGCCAGUAAUCGGUACGGGUCGUGAGAGCGAGAGCCCGGAGACGGUAUCUGAGACAAGAUACCGGGCCCUACGGGGCGCAGCAGGCGCGAAACCUUUACACUGCACGACAGUGCGAUAGGGGGACUCCGAGUGCGAGGGCAUAGAGCCCUCGCUUUUGUACACCGUAAGGUGGUGUACGAAUAAGAACUGGGCAAGACCGGUGCCAGCCGCCGCGGUAAUACCGGCAGUUCGAGUGAUGGCCGAUCUUAUUGGGCCUAAAGCGUUCGUAGCUGGCCAGUCAAGUCUGUCGGGAAACCUGCCCGCUCAACGGGCAGCCGUCCGGCGGAAACUGAUUGGCUUGGGACCGGGAGACUCGAGGAGUACGUCCGGGGUAGGAGUGAAAUCCUGUAAUCCUGGACGGACUACCGAUGGCGAAAGCACCUCGAGAGAACGGAUCCGACAGUGAGGGACGAAAGCUGGGGUCUCGAACCGGAUUAGAUACCCGGGUAGUCCCAGCCGUAAACGAUGCCCGCUAGGUGUGGCACAGGCUACGAGCCUGUGCUAUGCCGCAGUGAAGACCCAAGCGGGCCGCCUGGGAAGUACGUCUGCAAGGAUGAAACUUAAAGGAAUUGGCGGGGGAGCACUACAACCGGAGGAGCCUGCGGUUUAAUUGGAGUCAACGCCGG